rnacentral:rRNA from 1 species
UACGUAGGGUGCGAGCGUUGUCCGGAAUUAUUGGGCGUAAAGGGCUCGUAGGCGGUUUGUCGCGUCGGGAGUGAAAACCCCAGGGCUUAACCCUGGGCUGGCUUCCGAUACGGGCAGACUAGAGGUAUGCAGGGGGAGAACGGAAUUCCUGGUGUAGCGGUGAAAUGCGCAGAUAUCAGGAGGAACACCGGUGGCGAAGGCGGGUCUCUGGGCCGAUACUGACGCUGAGGAGCGAAAGCGUGGGGAGCGAACAGG